rnacentral:rRNA from 1 species
CACGUAGGGCGCAAGCGUUUGUCCGGAAUUAUUGGGCGUAAAGAGCUCGUAGGCGGUCUGUUGCGUCCGCUGUGAAAACUCGGGGCUUAACCCCCGAGCCUGCAGUGGAUACGGGGCAGACUAGAGGUAGGUAGGGGAGAAUGGAAUUCCCGGUGUAGCGGUGAAAUGCGCAGAUAUCGGGAAGAACACCCCGUGGCGAAGGCGGCUCUCUGGGACGGUACUGACGCUGAGACGCGAAAGCGUGGGGAGCGAACAGG